rnacentral:lncRNA from 11 species
CUCGCACUCACUUACUCUUCCAUCUUUUGCCACUGUGCCAGAUAAAUUUAAAUGUAUCUGUUCAAGUGAAGAUAAUCCAUGCAAAUCAGAGCCACUGGCUCCCAAGUGCUCGAUUCACAAAGAGAGCGGUGCUUCAGGAGGUCACUCGUUCACAGCUGCUCCUCCCAUUAUAUUUUUCCCCCUUACAGCAGAAUUGCUGCUUGUAUACAGUGACUGAAAGGACUCAAUUUACUGCAACUGCUGCCUGGUUUUCCUUACAACUUUCUUUUAAAGAGGGACAUACCUUCCAGCUAUCUUGCCAAGAAAGACAGUCCCUUCCAGAAGAAGGUGUAGUCUCCUUUUUCUUCCUUCAGACCUCCCUCUCCUGCUCUCCUGGAGUAUUGGUAUAUCAAUGUUAAAACGUAUCAGCUCGCUUACAAUAAUAUCAGUCCUGCAUUUAGGGCAUUCAUGACAGCCUACAGGUUCACUGAAACAAGCAAGUCCCCUCACCACAACAAGGUGAGGAGAAAACUGACUAUGUAUCUCAUAAAUAU